ACUGGGCACGGUGGCUCAUGCCUGUAAUCCCAGCACCUUGGGAGGUUGAGGUGGGUGGAUCACCUGAGGUCAGGAGUUUGAGACCAGCCUGGCCAACCUGGUGAAACCCCAUCUCUU
ensembl:misc_RNA Metazoa_SRP Metazoan signal recognition particle RNA